rnacentral:rRNA from 1 species
UUUAUUGGAGAGUUUGAUCCUGGCUCAGGAUGAACGCUGGCGGCGUGCCUAAUACAUGCAAGUCGAGCGAAUGGAUUAAGAGCUUGCUCUUAUGAAGUUAGCGGCGGACGGGUGAGUAACACGUGGGUAACCUGCCCAUAAGACUGGGAUAACUCCGGGAAACCGGGGCUAAUACCGGAUAAUAUUUUGAACUGCAUGGUUCGAAAUUGACAGGCGGCUUCGGCUGUCACUUAUGGAAGGACCCGCUUCGCAUUAGCUAGUUGGUGAGGUAACGGCUCACCAAGGCAACGAUGCGAAUCCGACCUGAGAGGGUGAUCGGCCACACUGG